rnacentral:rRNA from 1 species
GACGAACGCUGGCGGCGUGCCUAAUACAUGCAAGUAGAACGCAGUUGCGAAAGGGUGAGUACUGCGUAUGUAACGGCCUCAUAGCGGGGGGUAACUAUAGGAAACGAUAGCUAAUACCGCAUACUGUGAGAUGGACCGGCGUUGUGUUAGCUAGUUGGUGAGGUAAAGGGCCACCAAGGCGACGAUACAUAGCCGGCCUGAGAGGGUGGUGCGGCACACUUGGACUGAGACACGGCCCAGACUCCUACGGGAGGGAACAGGAGGGAAUCUUUGGCAAUGGGCGGAAGUCUGACCGAACAACGCCGGGGGAGGGAAGAAGGUUUUUGGAUCGUAAAGCUCUUUUGUUAGAGAAGCGGUACCUAACCAGAAAGGGACGGCUAACUACGUGCCAGCAGCCGCGGUAAUAC